ensembl:lncRNA
GGGGCAGGGUAGCCUAGUGGUUAGAGUGUAGAGGCGGCAGGGUAGCCUAGUGGUUAGAGUGUAGAGGCAGCAGGGUAGCCUAGUGGUUAGAGUGUAGGGGCGGCAGGGUAGCCUAGUGGUUAGAGUGUAGAGGCGGCAGGGUAGCCUAGUGGUUAGAGUGUAGAGGUGGCAGGGUAGCCUAGUGGUUAGAGUGUAGAGGCGGCAGGGUAGCCUAGUGGUUAGAGUGUAGAGGCGGCAGGGUAGCCUAGUGGUUAGAGUGUAGAGGCGGCAGGGUAGCCUAGUGGUUAGAGUGUAGAGGCGGCCUAGUGGGGUGUAGCCUAGUGGUUAGAGUGUAGAGGCGGCAGGGUAGCCUAGUGGUUAGAGUGUAGAGGCUG